rnacentral:lncRNA from 1 species
CGGCUCCAAAUGGCCUACUUGUCACUGAUUGAAGGAGAUGCUGACUUGAGAUAAAAACAGUUCCUAGGACCCUUCAAGGCCUCAACUAGAAAAGGCAAUAAUUUUGGCUUUGUGAUGCAUCCCACAAUUACAAGAACUUCUUCACCGCCCUCUAGUGGUAAAGAUGAAGAUGUGACACUCAGAAUAACCAUUCGCCUUUCCUGCUGCUGUUGAACAUGGCCCCUUUUUUUCUGAUAACUCAAUGGACUAUAUAAUCCAAAAUUGUGAUUGCUCCAAAGUUGGCAGUUCAUCCUCACUUUACAGAUAAAGUUGACGUGUAGAA